rnacentral:rRNA from 1 species
CAAUAGCGUAUAUUUAAGUUGUUGCAGUUAAAAAGCUCGUAGUUGGAUUUCGGGUGGGACGCAGCGGUCUCGCAUUUCGUUUGUACUGCUGCAGCCCUCCUUCUUGCCGGGGGCGGCCUCUCGGACUUCACUGUCUGGGGGUCAGAAUCGGCGAUGUUACUUUGAGUAAAUUAGAGUGUUCAAAGCAAGCUUACGCUCUGAAUAUAAUAGCAUGGGAUAACACGACAGGACUCUGGCCUAUCGUGUUGGUCUAUAGGACCAGAGUAAUGAUUAAGAGGGACAGUCGGGGGCAUUCGUAUUCCGUUGUCAGAGGUGAAAUUCUUGGAUUUACGGAAGACGAACAUCUGCGAAAGCAUUUGCCAAGGAUGUUUUCAUUG